CUUCUGUAACUUCCAAAUGAUGAGCUACAGAAGUUCUUAUUAGCAGUCCCUCAGGACAUGAAUUUAUGUGGUAUAGCUUGUGAUAUUGCAAUACAAAGUUCAUUUCCUUGUGUAAUUAAUUUAAUCUUAUUUUUGUUUUACCAAUUGAAAGGCUGUCAGUUUAAAGACAUAGCCUUAUUUUUUCCCUACAUUUCUAUUCAUGUAGCAUCUGUUUUCGUAAACACACACGAAGGUUUUCCCCAAUCGAUAAUUAAUGUUUUAAUUGGUAUUAAACUCCAAAUCUCCUUUUAGUUUCUCCUAUAGUACUUUAAUAUCCCCCUUACAAUUAUGCCUAAGCCAGAAUGCAAAGUUUGUAGGAUUCGAUUCCUGUAUUAAGGUUAUUUACCUUUGUUUCCCAUCAGGUAGAUUUUACAAGUAACAUUUCUAUUAAAAAAAUAUUUGGACAGAGGAACACCGAUUGACAAGUACAGCAAAAAUGUUUCUCCCUGGAGCUAACACCACCUCUACACACUCCACAUUUACAUAGCAAAUAUGCACCACUAAGUCAUUAUGCAAAUAUAAAACUCAGAUUAUACACAGUGAUUUACACAGGCAUCGAUUUACUGACUUUUUGGUGGAUUCAAGUGUAAAUUCUUUUCCACUUUGGGGCAAUUUUUUAAAUGGUAACAUACUGGGAAUAAGGUUUCAUUAAAGAGUAAAUGGACUUCAAAGUUUGCAUUGCAGAGACUUACCUUUAAAGGAAAGCUUUUUCAUUACAAUCACAUUGAGAAGAGUUCUUAAACUGUAUGGCACUCUAAGCCAUACAUUAUCUUCAUGUUAUCUUCUGUUUAUACAAUGUUAAGCAUACUCCGUAAAGUUCAGAUAUUUUAAACUGUGAGCUCUUUGGGGCAAGAGUCAUCUUUUUCUGCACGUAUUUUUUUUUAGCCCCAACAAGACAAUGAUCUUUGACUUGAUACAAACACCACACAUUAUAGAAAUUAUCCAUUAGGAAUGUAAGAAUUCUUUAUUUGAUAUCAAAACAAAUACCCUGACUGUAUAUCUAAAGAUCAUCAUUGUGUUUAAGCAAAUAAAAAGUAAAUUUGCCUCUUACCACUAAUAACUAACAACUACUUGCAUCAGACAUUUUAGUAGUGAUCAUCCUUUAAAUCGGUGUGUAAAUCUACUUCACUGGUGCUACUAAAAACAAUUCACCCACACUGAAAAAAAAUGCCUCUCCAGAAUUUGGCAAUUAAUCAAAAGUUCUCACAUAACACUAUCUUACUCAUGAGUAUUUAAGUUUCCAAUUUAAUAUUUGUCUUCUAUACCUUCAAAGUUGACAUUUCAUAAUAUUUUUAAGGAAAGAUUAAUAAUGUAAAAAGGGAAAAAUGCUGCCUGGGGCAACAAUCAGACAAUAAUAUAUAGACUGCAAGACAAACACCUCAACAAAAAAAAUGUUGCAACUUUAUGUUCCUACAUUACUGUAUGAUAUUAGACACCAUCACUCACAUGAGCUUUACCGAGCUGGAAAUAGUUUGGGAGAUGGAGGAAAAUCAUCAUAGAAUGAUAGAUCAUCAUAGAAAAUGAUCUGUUUAAGCCAAAGAAAUAGAAUUAUCAGUGUCAACUGCUCUGUGUUUUUAAUAUUUCCGAAGAUUGAAAUACAGUCUCUAAAAUUAAAAUACCAACAUGACCUGUCAACAAUCACCGUGAAUCCAGGUAAGUGGUUCUUGGAUAUUGUAUAAUUUUUACUUCAUUCUGGGUUUUGCACACAAACUGAGUGACAGAAUUUAUACUGUGGUGGUAUUAAAGUGUCAACUCCAAAAGCAAAGAUUUUUCGAUGUUUUUUCAACCACAUCUUUUAGUAAAAUAGUUUUUCCUAAAGCUCAUAGUUUUUAAAACUAGUACACAUAUGAGAAAAACAAUUGUUUGAGAUAUUGUUGUUGCCCAGUAUAAAGUUUUUAUUACAUAAGAGCAUUAAAAUUAGGUACCAUAGUAUUUUAUAAAGUUGGUAAAAGCUAGAGUGAAAGAGCACUAAAAUUUUCAUGUAUUUUAAACAGGUGGUCCUAUGAUAUCAUCAUCAUCUACUGCAGACAAUUAUAAAAAAAAAAAGAACAUGUAUGGCAAUCCCAUGCAUGAUUUGCAUUAGUGCAUUCAGAUCAUAUUUAAAAAAAUAACAACGUUCUCUAAUUUAAUCAGGCAAAAUCUAGAAAUAAUCACUAAGUGUACAGCACUGCAGUUACUAACAUGAUUAUGCUUUCAAACAAUGUUUAUGUUUUUAAAACAUACGCAGAAGAAAACAAAAUGGGUUAAAAAACAUCACAAGCUAUAGCACUAAGCUUUGAGGUCUCCUCACUGUAUUCUAAGAAGCCAUCAUCAUGUCAUUAAAAAUGGGCAGGCUUGGAUGCUGCUAUCACUUUUAUUUCUCAUAGUAACUCUUGCUGAGUUACUGUUGUUGACCCAAUUACACUCACGACAUUACCACACCACGGACUAUGUAAUGUUUUUAACAUUUCUUUAAUUAUAGAUGUUGCUAGCAUGUUUGAAGGAUUAUUUCACAGACUGGCUGCUACAAAGUCCACAGCCUAAACAACCUGAGAUGCUUGAGCUUCAUAAUGUGAAAUUGCUCGUGCUUUCAAAAUUCUUACUGUCAUCGUACCUUAAUCCUAUACAGGUUAAUGUAUACCAUUAUCUAUGGUAUAGUAACCAUCCCAGGUAUAGCAUGAAGGAGUCCAAGGAAAGGGUUCCUAUCUCUAGACUCCCAGAGCUUUCAGAAUAUCAGCUAUCCCGAAUAUAUAAAAUACCAAAAAAUUCACUGUUCAAUGGAAAACAACAAGGAAAGACAGAGAAAGAAUGUUUUGAGCUCAAUUCCAGGAUGCUUUUGAAAGUCAAGGACCAAUAAGAUAAAUGUCUGCAAGCACGAUGCAGAUGGCAUAACAUACUUGAGGCUUUUAUAUCAUAUUAGAGACUUUCAAUUUGUGUUAGACAUUGUCACUUUACAAUGCACUUGACAUAUUAUCUCAACAGUUUCCUAUAAUUUAUUUUCUUUCUUUCUUCAGACUGAAUAAAAUUUUCACAAAGAAAAAGCACAAAAAAGGAGAAAAAACACAUCCAAACAUUACAAGAUGGAAUGAAAAGUAGAAGAUGUAAAAGAACUAGAAUGUUUAUUUCUUGCUACUAAUAUUUCUGACAUUCCUGAAUCGUUUCCUGCACCAAUAAGAACCACUAACAUAAUGCAUGUGCUUUGUGGAAAUUUGAUCCGAGUUCCAGGUAUGUUGAGAGUUUAUGGAAAUUAUCUGACACAAAUGCUUAUGAUUACCAGUAUUGGGGGAAUAAAGAAAGAAGGAAAAAAAAAAAGAAAAAAAAAAACCUGAAAAAUAAAAAUUACCUAGAGAGUGGAAGAUAAAAACAGCUUUUACCAAACACAACCAAAAAGCCAGCAUAGAGAUGCCUGCUCAUUUUCAGCCAGCAUCACACCAAACUCUCAAUAACAAUUGAUCUGAUGCUCACCAUUGCUCUUUGUAUGUAUUUCUGUAUCUGGUCUCCCUAGCCUAUUUGUGAUAGGCCCUGGCAUUUUAGAGCACUAGAUUAUACAAGGAACCAAGCAAUUGUUUGGACUGCUUUUACACUGUAGAGCAUCUGCUAUUUUUCUGAGUUUUAGGCUAGACCCGAUGAGGAGAAGGGUUUCCAGUCUGUCCCUGUGAUGUUAAAAAAUAAAUAAGCAGCCAUUCCAAACAUUAUGAAAUUAAACAUCUUUCUCUAUUCUGUGUAAUAGAACCAAAUUGCUACGAUUGUGUCAUUAAACGCCCAGUGCAGCUAGUAUGAAAAAUUGGAGCAGCCUGGCGAUUUUUCUCGCGUUCUGUCAGCAGAACAACGUCUGCCUGCAACAAGGAAUACCUAUAUCCAUAUGCUUUCUGUCAGCCCUCAUGAUAAAUGCAGCACAGUCUUUGUGCUUCCAGCAAAUAGAGAGAGAAAAUGAUAUAUAAAGCCUCUCUUUGUUCUGAUUCAUGGAUAGAAGGCAUUGCAUAGACAAAGAAAAAUGUAAUGUCUGCACGCUGAUCGGGGGUAUUCAACCACUGCAGCUGGGAGCUGAUUUAGGAAAAAAAAAAAAACUGUUUCAUUUUAUUUUUACAGAAUUUGAAUCCAAGCUAAACAUAGUUGUGAAUGAUUGGAGCUUAGUUGUCUUGUGUCCUCCAUCCACUAACGCAAGCACGGUGACCGCUUGGUCUGGGCACACACGUGCUGCAGGCUCGAGCCUCCCAGUACCAGCAAUUCCCCUCCCUGCCACAGCUGAGUCAGCAGCAGAAGGUGAAUGAAGGUACCAGAACCAUUUGCUGCCGUGGGCCAGCGGCAAAACUGCAAAUUCCCUGGAAUAUUGGGGGGAAAUGGGGAUGAUGCAUGUGCAAAUUGCUCAUUGUUUCUGCUGAUCUUUGAGUGCUGCAUGACUUCCCUAUCGCUAUAACUAAAAGGCAAAAUUUAUUUCCAAUUGACCCUUUUAUCAAAGUAGUAAUGCCAAAAAAAAUCAGGAUUAUCAUUUUUGCACAAUUCAGCUUCCUCCGUGGCAAUGAGGGUAAACCAAAGACCACAUCCAAUAAACUAAGUAAACCCUCC